rnacentral:rRNA from 1 species
UUGAACGCUGGCGGCAUGCUUUACACAUGCAAGUCGAACGGUAACAGGCCUUCGGGUGCUGACGAGUGGCGAACGGGUGAGUAAUGCAUCGGAACGCACCCAGAGGUGGGGGAUAACGCAGCGAAAGCUGUGCUAAUACCGCAUGUGAUCUGAGGAUGAAAGCGGGGGACCGAGCAGCAAUGUUUGGCCUCGCGCCUUUGGAGCGGCCGAUGUCGGAUUAGCUAGUUGGUGGGGUAAAGGCCUACCAAGGCGACGAUCCGUAGCUGGUCUGAGAGGACGACCAGCCACACUGGGACUGAGACACGGCCCAGACUCCUACGGGAGGCAGCAGUGGGGAAUUUUGGACAAUGGGCGCAAGCCUGAUCCAGCAAUGCCGCGUGCGGGAAGAAGGCCUUCGGGUUGUAAACCGCUUUUGGCAGGAACGAAACGGUGUCCGCUAAUACCGGGCGCUAAUGACGGUACCUGCAGAAUAAGCACCGGCUAACUACGUG